rnacentral:rRNA from 1 species
GAUGAACGCUGGCGGCGUGCCUAAUACAUGCAAGUCGAGCGAAGCGGGGAAGGGGGAGUAACACGUGGAAAAACUCCUAUAUGAAUGAGAUAACUUAGGGGAACCGGAGCAAAACCGGCUAAUGAUAGAUGAAUCCGUGCUGCAUUAGCUAAUUGUUAAGGUAACGGCUAAGCAAGGGAACGAUGCAUAGCCGACCUGAGAGGAGGAUCGGCCACACUGGUACUGCGACACGGCCCAGACCUCUACGGGAGGCAGCAGGAGGGAAUCUUCCGCAAUUGACGAAAGCCUGACGGAGCAACGCCGCGUGAGUGAUGAAGGUCUUCGGAUCGUAAACCACGGUUAUUAGGGAAGCGGUACCUACUCAGAAAGCCACGGCUAACUCCGUGCCAGCAGCCGCGGUAAUAC